rnacentral:misc_RNA from 1 species
CGCACCUUGCACUCUUUGGUUAUUCCGAAGAGUAUGCUUGUUUGAGUGUCGCGAAAUUCUCAACCCCGCCAAGGGCUUUAUUGACUUUGGUUGUUUGGGCUUGGAUACUGGUUGUUGCCAGCCCUUUUGCAAGGACUUUGGCUCGAUUGAAAUACAGCAAGCUGAAUGAACGCACUAAUGCGGCUUGACCUGAUGUUGUAGUUACAAUUCAUCGGGGAUCGCGUUAGAAGGUUCAAGGAGCUUUAACGAAACCCAUAUCUGCUGAGUCUUUCGGGACUUAGUGCAUUAUGACCUCAAAUCAAGUAGGACUACCCGCUGAACUUAA